GUUCACUGCCGAAUAGGCAGCUUAGGAC
rfam:Aquaspirillum sp. LM1, complete genome.